rnacentral:rRNA from 1 species
UACGAAGGGGGCUAGCGUUGUCCGGAAUUACUGGGCGUAAAGCGCGCGCAGGCAGUCUUUCAAGUCAGUGGUGAAAGCCUGGAGCUCAACUCCAGAACUGCCAUUGAAACUGCAAGACUUGAGUACGAGAGAGGUGAGUGGAAUUCCCAGUGUAGAGGUGAAAUUCGUAGAUAUUGGGAAGAACACCGGUGGCGAAGGCGGCUCACUGGCUCGUAACUGACGCUCAGGCGCGACAGCGUGGGGAGCAAACAGG